CCUACGGGUGGCAGCAGUGAGGAAUAUUGGUCAAUGGGCGCGAGCCUGAACCAGCCAAGUCGCGUGAGGGAAGACGGUCCUAUGGAUUGUAAACCUCUUUUGUCGGGGAGCAAAAGACGCCACGCGUGGAGUUCCGAGAGUACCCGAAGAAAAAGCAUCGGCUAACUCCGUGCCAGCAGCCGCGGUAAUACAGAGGAUGCGAGCGGUAUCCGGAUUUAUUGGGUUUAAAGGGUGCGCAGGCGGAAGUUUAAGUCAGCGGUAAAAUCUAGAGGCCUAACCUCACCGAGCCGUUGAAACUGGUUAUCUAGAGUGCGUGAGAAGUAUGCGGAAUGAGUGGUGUAGCGGUGAAAUGCAUAGAUAUCACGCAGAACUCCGAUAGCGAAGGCAGCAUACCGGCGCUCAACUGACGCUCAUGCACGAAAGUGUGGGUAUCGAACAGGAUUAGAUACCCCUGUAGUC
rnacentral:rRNA from 1 species